rnacentral:rRNA from 1 species
AUGGACAGCGAAGCACCCGAGAAAGUGCCAGCACUAGCUUCCAGCAGGGAGGGCAACAAAAAGCAACUAGCUAGUAGCAAAAAAGAGGAGCAAUCAGAAACCAAGACUGUCAUUCCUCCUAGAGGAAAAGGACAAAAGAGAAAGGACAAAACUCAACUCAUCAGUGACGGUGCUAGCUUGAAGCAGCAGCAGCCAAGUCCUCUAAUGAUACUCCCGCCAGCAGUUCCACGUGCCGACAAUGAUGUAAAUAAAGACAAGAAGAAAAACAAAAGACAACGGUUCGAAGAAGACGAGGAUGAUGCCAGCAAAGAGUCAAAGCGUGAUACUGCCGACGACGACGAUGGCACAAAACACGAUGAUGAUGUCAUUUGUACAGAGGGCGAUGGCGCCGCACGGGACAAUGGUGGCACCGCAGAGGACAGCAACGAUGAUAUAAAAACAAGGCAGAAGCGCACAAAGAGAAGAAAGAUAAGUGGAAAAGAAUUGGCAGCACCAACGGAUGAUAAACAGGAGGCAACAACAAAUAAGGACAAAUGCGAGAUCAAGGCAGGAGCAGCAUUUGAUAAUGUCAAUAAAGCAUGGAAAUUACUUGAGGAACGUCACCGGCAAGAUGUUAGGGAAGCCGGGUUUCGAAGCAUAGAGGGAUGCCAAAUAAAGCGCUCCAUAUGCAAACCACUUGCAGCACACAUCUACGACAAACUGGACAUAGAAACCUUGAAAAUAAAGUUCGGUGAAGCUGAUCAGCAGAUAGAAAUCACAAUAACAAAGGAAGGCAUCCACAAGGUGUUUGGAUACCCAAACGGUACAGAAAAGACAGCACCAAGGCCAAAUAUUUCCACCACCACAAUGACCGAACUGGUCACAAAACUUGGCCUCGAGAAAAUGGGUUUCCAUCACGAUGAUCUGUUUAAAGAACUAGAAAAAUUGGUGAAACAAGAUGACGAACAAUCAAACAGGAAAUCAGUUAAAAUAUUUUUCCUUAUUUUUUUCCACAACAUUGUCUGUGGAACAACCUCCCCUACCUUCUGCAAACAAGCCAUUAUGGUCGAGGACUUGGACUAUCCAGAAAUGGCAAAGAUGGAUUUCUGCCAGGUAAUCGUCGAAAGUAUUAGGGAAGGAGCAAAGACAUGUAAGAAGCACAGGUUGUUGCCUCAGGAAGAAAAGAACAAAAAGCAUCUCAAUGGUUUGGCGCAGGGACCAGUAAUAAUGUACCUCGACUGCCUACUGUUGCCGACCGACACAAAACAAAUGCGGAAGAUUGCCAGGACAAUGGACAAGACAUCGUUACCGCGAGCAAACCACCUAAAAGAGAGUGACCUAAGGAAAAUAGCUAGAGCAGACAUGAAAAUGGACGGAAAAGCACGACCAGAUGACUAUGAAUUUGGCAAGAUACAGACAUGGAAAGGAACAGCAGAGAGGAUCUUCUAUGCCAACACAGCAACACCUUCGUAUUCAACACAGAUGAUACCAGCACAACAACAGGAGCACCAGCAAACGACCAAGCUACUACCACCUCCAACCAAGCGACAGGACGAAGCACAUGUCAGCACAAGUGGAAGCAAGGAACCAGUCACAGGCACCAGCACAGGAUCAUAUGAAAUAUUCGGAAGGAUAGAAGAAAUGUUGAAACAAGUACUCGACGAAACAAAACAGAUACCCGGAAUAACGACCAGGGCUGGACACCAAUGCAGCGAACAAGAGAAGGAAUUAGAUGAAAGCAUGAGGAACAAAGUGGUGCGACAAACAACAGUCGUGAUUGAUUCUAUCGAACAACUUAGAGAAUUCCAGGACAUUGUUCACAGAGUGAGAUUUCAAGAAGAGACGACGCUGAAGCUGCAGGAUCGAGCAGACGCAGGAGACACAGCUGCACUUGUACAUGGCAACCACACGGAAGAAGUCGUAGCCGCACCAGAACCAGGAGGGAGGAGAAAAAGAAAGAAGGAAGAACAUGACCAACAAAACAAACAUGAAGGGAAGAAAAGAAUAACAAAAUCAAGAACACAGAACUCGAGAAUUAGCCAGAGGGAGACAGAAGAACAUAACAAGGUGCAAAAGGAGCAACACAAGGACGACGUAUCAGUGAACACAUCAAGUGCCGAAGAACAGCAAGAACAAGGUAGAAAAGUAGCUGCAGAAGCAGAGAAUCAAGAUGAGAAACAGCCAGACAAGUAUCAUAUCAACGCUCCCGCAAACGAGCCACGGGCUGAUCUAGCAUCGACCGUUGAUAGCAUGGCAGAAAAACAAGAAGAAAACAACAAAGAAGAGGUAUUACAAGCACAGCAAAGAGAAGAGCAUGCCCAUGCAAGUCAGAAAGUUCAUAUAGAAGAGCUUUUCAGCACAAGAGCAUCUCACAUGACCUAUACAAGGGAGAAAGCCUCAGACACUCCACCUGGUGACACACCCAAGGCUGGCAUACAAAGCAAAGAAAAAGUGGACGCACAAACGGAUAUCCCAACCACCAGCGCAAAGGAAACAAACGAUGACGACCAUGCCAAAAGAACAGCAAGGAGUACAGACAGACCAAACCAAAAACAAGGGAAAAUGCUGACUAAAACGGUACCCAGUACACCAUCAUCAAAGACCAACGAGAUGCAAGAAAUAGGGGAGAGCACCAACAUACAAGGCAAACAAACACAACAACACAGGGGAAUGGAACAAGCAGAAGAUGUUCUUCCAACAACAGACAACCUAACCGCCGUAGACCAAGCCAGAAAUCCUUCGCUGUCCGGGCAAGAAAUAACAGAGAUAGCAACGUCGACGCAAAACAUCGAAAAGCCACAAGACAAAAACGACGACACCACGGAGGUCCAAAAAGCCCAAAUCACCGAAGAAAAGGUCGAAGAGGCAGCACCGGCGGAAACGACUGAAAAGAAACCUCAACAGGACACGCACGCAGACACAAGUGAAGAAGCAAAGGGCCACAGUGCAUUGCAAAACCAUGCGGCAAACAUUCCAGAGAAAGAGUCAGGCAGCAACGAGAAAAAGGCCGCACCAUCAGACAAGAAACAUUGUGCUGUAAAAGAUGUUGCCGCCACAAACACGGCGGUAACCCAGGGCAGCACUCAAAUAAAACGUGAACCGUUGAUCAUACAAAACCUGGCCAUCGAAGAAGGGACAAAAGACAAAGGGAUCGAACACCUGUACAACAACGUCAUGACAGCAAAUAAGGACAAAGGGCACAAGAUUUUAAUAAAUACAGAGACGACAACAGUAACAGCCAGCCACAUGGCACAAAGCUUCAACAUUGGAAAGCCAGUGCGCAGCGAAACCAUGGCAGUCAUGCUACAGAUGUUGAAAAAGCAACUCAGGGGCACAAAAAGAAAGAUUCUAUCAACAUACAACACCGGAUCAAUAUGCAUGGCCAACCAUGAAGAUCCAUUGGAGUUGAAAAAUAAAGAUGAAGCACACAUCAGAGACAAGACAAUUCCUAAAAGGCUUAAAAGAUUUCUUGAUCUGGAAGAAGGAGAGAAACUACAAGAUUUCGACAUGGAACAAGUCCCAGAGUUGAGAAAGAAAAUUCUCUAUCAAAUAUUCUGCCAGUACAGAGAUACGGCCGCACUGUCAUUAAUCAACUACACCGCAGAUAUGCUGAAACCUGAGGUCGAUAUGGAAGACAGUGAAAUGGAACGAAUACAUUGUGACAUAAUUCAACAAGAGAUUCCUCCAACUCCUGAGCACAUUGGGACAAGCGCUCAAGAGAUAAAAGUUAUUGACAUUAAUGAGACAAGCAGCGAUGAGGAGAAAGAAGAUUAUCAUUUGAGAGGCAAGGAUGCCACCAAGGUGUCUGAAGAAGCACUCACGGAAGAACAAGCCCAGAAAGAUCCUGGUUUACAUAGGGAACAACACGCGCAGCCAGACACUGAUUUACAAAAGGAAGACGAACAGAAAGAUCCGCCGAUAGAACCAGACAGACCACCCCUAGAUAAAAACAAUGAAGGCAUAACACGCUCUCCUUUAGAAGUGGAUAACAGGACAAAGACCGUACCAACUCACCAACAACAGCUUUCCAAACAGGACAUGAACCCUGUUGGCGAAGAUCGCAUACCAAGAACAUCACCAGAGGCAGAACAUGCACAAGAAGAAAAGAAGGAUAAAGGAAAGAUUUUAUUAGAAAAGAUACUUCAAAAAAGGAAAUAUGAUGCUGAAGUCUCAAUAGAACCGAGCAUCAAAAACAACAACACACAAAAGGACACACCAACAACUGGGCAGCUUAAUGAGCAGGCACAGUUCGGUCACGACAAGAAAAGGAGAAGGCAUCUUGCAAGAGUGCAGACAAGUUCCCCAAAACCCUCGACGAUUCAAUCACACGAGAUCAGCUCAGCAAACAUAAUCUCAACUAAGAGGCCAUUCAAGCGAGCAAGCAAGGAAAUUGAGAAAGUCAACGCUCCAGCACUUGUUCUAGGAGAUUUCAUUUACAAAGAAAAGGCCAUGCAACUCUAUAGAUAUCUGAUGAGCCGACAAGGACAGAAACAAUGCGGACAACAACAGCUAUAUAAAACCUCAAAGAGCGAAGGCUACAUUUUAGGAAAAUCCGUCAUGGAACAAGCAAGGAAAGAAAAUGCACAAAUGGAAGGCUCCUUGCUAAACGCGUUACUGGACGAAUGGACAGAUCAGAAACAGUUCAACCCAGACGUCACAACUAUACUCCCUGCAGAAUUCACAAAUAUGGUGCUAGGUCUCAAUUAUAAAAGAGGGGAGCUAUCAGAAUUCAACAAAGACGAUGCACUACAAGCAUUUGAACAACUCGUGCGAGGUAAAAACAUCCUGCACUCGAAGAUGAUCAUGAUACCUCAUCACACGGACAAGCACUACACGCUAUAUGUAAUGAACAAGUACAGAGAUAGCAUCGACAUCCUUGACUCACUGAACUAUGUAAACUACGCCGAUUUGUCUUGGAGUAAACACCAUGUGCAUCGAGCAGAACUGAUGAGAAGGAUGUCGGUGCUGAUGAACAAGUACCACCAACUAAAAGACAAGAACGAACCAGACUGGGCAAGGAUAGCAGAAAGGCCUCACAGGAUCUGCACACCAAAGCAAGAAGGAACACAAUGCGGACACUUCACGGCCCAAUUUGCAAAACACUGGAAUGGGAAAGAACUGGUCAAGGACAGAGAGGAUUUUCAUCAUAGCAAGGUGGAUGCCAAAUGGAAACCAGAGUACGUAUACACACUCAUAUUCGGUAAAACCAACCAAAUAAAGCACCAUCAACUUCCUGAAAAAAUCAAAGUUUUCAAACCAGAGACUACAAACCUUUUUUCACCCAUGAAAGAGCGAGACGAAAAGAACCAGGAUCAAUCAAUGAGCAUCAACAAAUACCCGCAACACCAGCAUUCGUUCAUACACGUGCGUAAGGCAAACGAGCUCUACAACAUAGUCAUGAGUGACACAUGGCAGGACAAAUUCAAAAGAGAAGUAGUAUUCUCGGGAGAACAACCACAGGGGAACAGUGCAACUCUCACUGGAUCAAACCUAAAGCAAAUUUUUGGGCCUGCGAACAAGAAAAACCGUAAAGGAAUGGAAAAGAAGGUAUUCAUGCCAUUUGAAAAGAAAGACAGAUACACACUAUUAGUGCUCGACAGAUAUAGAAGGAAGCUUCAAAUCAUUGAGCCUCAAGAAACCUCUCUCGAAGAAUUGAAGAGGCAAGAAUGCCUGAAAAAUCAACGUGAUCUCCAUGUGCAUGAUGGCAAACUAAGUAAGAAAAUUGCUCACAUGGAAAUCAACGAAGCCAGCAAAGAAAAGGAGCAUAACAAAUACCACCACCAUAAAGACAGACUGGUGCCGAGGUUCAAGGCAGUAUAUGAAAUAUUACUCGGUGAAAAAUUCGAAAAGGAAAAGACUAAAUGGGAAGUUCAAUUUUUAAAGGACGUUCCAAAGGUGAACAAAGGUGAAACCCCGUUUGCUGUUCUAAGGUUCGCGCAUCUCUUUGAUGGCAACCACUUCGUCGAAGAGAUAGAUAAUUUCGAUGAUGGCACGGAACAAUGGAAAGCACAACAACUGUUCAGGCUACUAUUUAGCGAUCAGAAUACAAUCGAACCCAGCAAAAUGGGCGAUGAGAUAACAAAGAUCUAUGACGACAUCAAGGAAAAGGAAUAA